rnacentral:rRNA from 1 species
UGUGUAGGCGGACUAAUAAGUCAGUGGUGAAAUCUUUCGGCUCAACCGGGAAACUGCCAUUGAUACUGUUAGUCUUGAGUUCGGUUGAGGUAGGCGGAAUGUGUAAUGUAGCGGUGAAAUGCUUAGAUAUUACACAGAACACCAAUUGCGUAGGCAGCUUACUAGACCGACACUGACGCUGAGGCACGAAAGCGUGGGGAGCGAACAGGAUUAGAUACCCUGGUAGUCC